AGAGUUUGAUCAUGGCUCAGAACGAACGUUGGCGGCGUGGAUUAGGCAUGCAAGUCGAACGAGAACCCGGGGGCAACUCUGGGGGAAAGUGGCGAAAGGGGCAGUAAGGCGUGGGUAACCUACCUCGGGACGGGGAUAGCCAUCCUAACGGAUGGGUAAUACCCGGAGAAGUAGCUGAGGCGCCUGUCUUGGCUACGAAA
rnacentral:rRNA from 1 species